rnacentral:sRNA from 1 species
UUCUGCCAAGGAUAGCAACGGAAAGCCCGCAAAGUCAGCGCCCUUAAAAAACAAAACUUAAAACAGCGACCAGCGGAAGCUCGUUCUGGGUUUAUGUUUUUUUGGGCGAUGACUGCGGACUUGCAGUGAAUAGCCUGUUUUGGC